UACGUAGGCAGCAAACGUUGUUCGGAAUUACUGGGCGUAAAGAGCGUGUGAGCGGCUUUGCAAGUCCGUUGUGAAAACUCGAGGCUCAACCUCGAGACGCCGAUGGAAACCAUCCAGCUAGAGUCCGGAAGAGGAGAGUGGAAUUCCCGGUGUAGCGGUGAAAUGCGCAGAUAUCGGGAAGAACACCCGUGGCUAAGGCGGCUCUCUAGUACGGUACUGACGCUGAGACGCGAAAGCGUGGGGAGCGAACAGG
rnacentral:rRNA from 1 species